CUCAAGAGGUUCUUACCAAACCCAAAUCCAAAUCCAGCCACAGGGGAAAACAAAGGCAUUUUGACAUUCAUCACUACGUGUUGAAUACCCACAAGGUCCUGGGCAUUGCUGGCGCUGAGGACAAAGGCAGAUUAGAAAAAUGAGACUUACAGGCGAAACAACGUGCCCAAGAGCCAGUCUGAGUCCAGAGUUCCUAACAUGGCCCUUGGCAAACCUGAAGAUUUAUUAGAUACUUGGUAUGGUUUGCAAAAUGGUUUUAAAGAGACCACUCCCAAUGACAGCUUUUUAUUCCAGAUCAUUGAUCACACAGGAAAUUCUGCAGAAGGAACAGACAAAACUUGUAGUUAUGUGGAAAAAAGAUUAGUAAACAGAAACACCUGUACCUCAGCACAAGGAGGCGUGUGCAAGACUGCCAAUGCAGCAUUGCUUGAAAACGUGACAAUUUUAUCUGUAUAAGCCAAGGGGAAAUGCCUAAGUGAAACAAUGCACAGUAUAUGCAGAGAAAUGAAUCACAUCUCUAUGGACCAAAGGAGAUAAUCCCCAAAACAUACUGCUUGUUAAGAAGAACAACUUUCAGGUGUUUUUGUCUGAAGUACACAGAACUUUGACUUAAACAAUUAAGAAAUUCAUUAACUCACAAAAGAAGGUGGCCAGGCAGACCCGAAACCACCAUCAACAUUUCAGGCUCUUCCCAUUUCUCUGCACUGCCUCAGCUGGACUGGCUUCAUCUUCGUCCUUUUGAUGCAGCUAUUCCAGAAGGUGUAUCCAGACAAGACAACGUGCAUACAAAGAAGAAUUAGCAUCUAGUACCAUGGCGAGUCUCCUUUCUCACAGAAGAGGUGUAACCUUCCCAGCAGCUGCCUAUAAACGUCCUAUCAUGUUUCACUAGACAGAACUGGCUUGUGUGUGGGUCUUGAACCGUCACUGAAAGAAGGAUGGAAUUAACUAGUUGGCUUAGACUAACUGGCCUAGCCUACUGAUCUGAGGUCGAACGAAUUUUGGGGAGUCAACCAUUAUGUAUUUGUAGUCAGGAUUCUCCACAGAAACAGAAUCAACGGGGAGAUUUAUUAUAGGACCUGGCUCAUGUGCUUAUGGAGGCCGAGAAGUCUCACAGUCUGCUGCCUGUAGGCUAGAGGACUAGUUAAAGCCAAUGGUAUAAUUCAGUCUAAGCCCAAAGGUCUGAGAACCACGAGCUCCCAUGUCCAAGGACAGGGAAUUUGCCCUUCUUUAGCCUUUUUGUGGAUUUGAUGAUGCCUGCACAUAUUGGUGAGGGCAAUCUUUUUACACAGCCUACUAAAUCAAAUGUGGAAUCUCUUCGAGAAACACCCUCACAGACACACCCAGAAAUGUACCAGCUAUCUGUGCCUCCCUUAGCCCAGUCAAGUUGACACAUAAUAUUAACCAUCAUAGUGUUCUUUACCUACAAUGGGGAAUUAUUUUGGAAUCUAUUUUUUUUCCAGAUACCACAGGAAGGUUCAUUACUAUCAAAGGCUCACAUAUAUUUG